CCUACGGGAGGCUGCAGUGGGGAAUAUUGGGCAAUGGGCGCAAGCCUGACCCAGCAACGCCGCGUGAAGGAAGAAGGCCCUCGGGUUGUAAACUUCUUUUAUCAAGGACGAAACAAAUGACGCUACUUGAUGAAUAAGCCACGGCUAACUACGUGCCAGCAGCCGCGGGCAUACGUAGGUGGCAAGCGUUAACCGGAUUUACUGGGUGUAAAGGGCGUGUAGGGGGGACUGCAAGUCCGAUGGGAAAACCAUGGGCUCAACCCAUGGCCUGCAUUUGAAACUGUAGUUCUUGAGUGUUGGAGAGGCAGGCGGAAUGCGGGGUGUAGCGGUGAAAUGCGUAGAUAUACGGAAGAACACCAGUGGCGAAGGCGGCCUGCUGG
rnacentral:rRNA from 1 species